AAGUCGUAACAAGGUUUCCGUAGGUGAACCUGCGGAAGGAUCAUUAACACGUAUCCAACGUUAAACAACCCUGUGAACUUUAAGUCCCCUCUUGCAGCCCAUGAGGAACAGCAAUCCCGGUAAAUCAUUGCCAAACAGUUUUGAUUCGGGACCUCUGUCCAAAAGGAGUUGCAAUCGAAGGGUGGAAGCAGUGGCAUGGCUUCCCCAAGCAGUUAGUGAAUGACAGUGUCACUGACUGUGUAAGGACUAGAGGUCGAUCACCGACCGGCAGACAUGUCACAGGGUCACCACGCCCCUUAAUCACUUUGAAAAUGCCCCGCCUAGUGGUAACGCGCUAGGUAAAAAAAACCGAACAACUGUUAACAAUGGAUAUCUUGGUUCUC
rnacentral:misc_RNA from 1 species